GGGAUGUGGAUGUGUUUGUGCUCCUGAAAAUAACAGCUCAAACACUUUGUGAGACCAAGGAAGAAGUUGAGCAUGGACAAUGGAGAAGUUUUUGUUAAGAAACAAGCAAAAUGUUUUCUCCCUGAAGAAGAAAGAGGAGGAUGAAGCAGCAGAAGACAAUGUGGAAAGAAAACAGACAGAACAAAAGGAAGUUUCACAGUAGAGAAACAUCAAAGACAAUAUCCUCUUCAGGAAGAAGAACGAGGUGCACCUUGCUAGGAUAUCCCAGCAAGCUGAGAUAAGUCACUUGUUCUAAACAGACUACGUCAACAUUUUGCAGUUAUUUACUGGUGCAGCACUGUAUAACCAAAGGAUAGGAAAAUGUGGUUUGAAGAGGAACAGCUGCUGCUAAUAAUGUAAGUGAUAAACUGAAAUGAACAAUGGAUAUUAAGU
rnacentral:lncRNA from 1 species